UACGUAGGCAGCGAGCGUUGUUCGGAGUUACUGGGCGUAAAGGGUGCGUAGGCGGUUGUUUAAGUUUGGUGUGAAAUCUCCCGGCUCAACUGGGAGGGUGCGCCGAAUACUGAAUGACUAGAGUGCGGGAGAGGAUAGUGGAAUUCCUGGUGUAGCGGUGAAAUGCGCAGAUAUCAGGAGGAACACCGAUUGCGAAGGCAGCUCGCUGGGACGUAACUGACGCUGAGACGCGAAAGCGUGGGGAGCAAACAGG
rnacentral:rRNA from 1 species